rnacentral:rRNA from 1 species
UCGAGAAUAAUUCACAAUGGGGGCAACCCUGAUGGUGCAACGCCGCGUGGAGGAUGACGGUCUUCGGAUUGUAAACUCCUGUCAUCUGGGAGUAAGACCUGGCUGUGAAUAGCAGACAGGGUUGAUAGUACCAGAAGAGGAAGGGACGGCUAACUUCGUGCCAGCAGCCGCGGUAAUACGAAGGUCCCGAGCGUUGUUCGGAAUCACUGGGCGUAAAGGGAGCGUAGGCGGCGUGGUAAGUCAGAUGUGAAAUCCCGGGGCUCAACCCCGGAACUGCAUCCGAUACUGCCGUGCUAGAGGAUUGGAGAGGUA